CUCACCUCGGUCUUUCGGUUCUGCAGGCGGUGGAGUGUGGUUGUGCAUGUAGUUAUGCUCACAGGCUAGCGCACCAUUGCAAGAGAAUAUAUAUUUUUUUAGUUAUUUAAGAAGUUAGUGCGCUUGAUUUGGAGAAUAAAUGCAUGCUCGUUGUGGGGCGGUAGCUUUCUUUUCACAAGAAUGGUGUUUUUGGCGCAGGACGUGAAGCCCACGUGUUUGUAUCCUGGGUGUGGAUACACUACAAACCUGCUUUCUUAAAGCAGGAACUUCAACGCGUGAGGAUGCGACCCGUCCUGCAUGUGCACAAGAGGAACUUCAACGCGUGAGGAUGCGACCCGUCCUGCAUGUGCACAAGAGCUCUGGGGAGCUGACAUGGUGGACUGAAGGAAUCUGAAUAUCCCUGCAAUGUAACAGUUAGCCUGCUGAGGAUGGAGGUGACUCGGGACUGAAGGAAUGAAGUGUGUGUCUUCAUGCUGUGUAGGUGUGGGGUCUCCAGGAAUACUUUGUGCAGGUUUGGCAUGGCGGGUCUUUCAAGAUUGCAAGAGACACAAACCCCCCAGUAGCUUUCACCAGUCUGUACUGUGAAAGUGGAGGGUUCUGGUAUGGUCGCAUCUCUUCAAUAAAGACUGUUUGAAUAAAA